AGCUUUGAGACAUUUGGGUAACGGCCAUUGCAAUACUGCCUCCAGUUUGCGUGGGUCCAUCUUGAAGCCAGAAGGGGAUAUUACAUACCCAAGGAAUUGUAUUUCAGUCUGGUCAAACUGGCACUUUUCUAGCUUGCAAUAUAAGCCAUUCUCCAGCAGGGUUUUUAACAUGGUUUUCACAUGUUCGUGUUGAGUACGUAGGUCUGGGGAAUAGAUGAGAAUAUCAUCUAGGUACAGCAGCACGAACAUGUGGAGGUAUUCUCUGAGGACAUCGUUUAUAAAGUCUUGGAAUACCUCUGGGGCAUUGCACAAAACAAACGGCAUGACCAGGUACUCAUAAUGUCAC